GACCAAGGUUCGACUCGAGCGCCAGCGAGAGAGCGUUGCCGCAGGCAACGACCCGUAGGGCGAAGCGCGCAGCGCUGAGUAAUCCUUCCCCCACCACCA
rnacentral:sRNA from 1 species